AUAAUGCUAAUGGAGUGGUGGUGGUCUAAGCACAUAACUGGUACUCAGAAGGUUGCUGGUUCGAUCCCCACAGUCACCACCAUUGUGUCCUUGAGUAAGACACUUAACUCCAGGUUGCUCCGGGGGGAUUGUCCCUGUAAUAAGUGCACUGUAUAAUACAUUGGUACUCAGAAGGUUGCUGGUUCGAUCCCCACAGUCACCACCAUUGUGUCCUUGAGUAAGACACUUAACUCCAGGUUGCUCCGGGGGGAUUGUCCCUGUAAUAAGUGCACUGUAUAAUACAUUGGUACUCAGAAGGUUGCUGGUUCGAUCCCCACAGUCACCACCAUUGUGUCCUUGAGUAAGACACUUAACUCCAGGUUGCUCCGGGGGGAUUGUCCCUGUAAUAAGUGCUCUGUAAGUCGCUUUGGAUAAAAGCAUCUGCCAAAUGCAUCAAUGUAAAUGUGUUUCGGCCUUGUUUAUACUUAAAAGUCCUGCGUUAUGCACCAAAAAAAAAAAUUCUAGUUAUUAUUGGGAUUUUGGAUGAAUAAAAAUUUGCAUCUGGGAUUUUAUUCAUUUUGGAAUCCCUCUUUGCCCGCCAUAGUAGAGAAUAAUUUUUUUUUAUAGAAAUCGAUCGGAGAUUAAGCAGUUAUCAGCAUGUCCCACCACCUCAGCAGCCCUCUUCAUUGUGGGUAAAUCACUCGCAUAUGCAACAAUAUUUCACGCCAUGCGACUUAAAUAUAUAUUAGCCACUGGCGAGUAAAUAUCCCAACUUGACUCGCCAGAGAUUGAGUUGUGUAGUGGUGAAGAACAUGAAAUUGAGCACCGCGAUCCUUUUAUUGAAAAAGAAACUGGAUUCAGUCUCGUCUUUUACAGCGUGUUGUGCAUCGCGAGUGACCUGAAGGAAAUUGACCUUAUUUGGAUGGAGGGUCCGGAUCUGUCGUGAUCGCCCCAUCACUGUAAGUUCAGCCGUGAAAUACCCGAUAUUGCAUUUAACGACGUCAACUCAUUUUGAAAACAGGUUUUGAAAGGAAUGGUUUAACUAAAAUCAAAGCAUGCUACAAACCAGUACCGCUGUCAGAUAGAAGGUAAAAGUGUUGCAAAACUUGAGGUUGUAGAUUUGAAUGAGAAUAAAUAUUUAUCGAUACACAACGCAAGUAAAAGUAUCCUUUUGCUUUGUUACAUGUAUUUUGUAUCCAAAGUUGAGACCCAGGCACCCCAUUUUCAUUUCAUGUGUCUUUUAAAAUCCUUUGUUAUUUCAGUUGAUCAAAAACAUAAAAACAUUAUUUCUAAUCAUUAAUUGCACAGAGUAAAAACCACCGUGCAACAUCUCUCUCAUUAAUGUGUGCUGCGCUUAUUCAACUGUAAACACUUCCUUGCAGGGUAGCCAUUCUCUUAAAGAGACAGUACCAAUUUAGUGCUUGCUAUACUUAUCAAUGUAAGUAUUUACUAUGCAAAAGCCUGCUUGGUUACAUAGAGGAAAGCUGACGACAACAAAUAUCAUGUCUCUUAUCAUUCUCAAGAUAUAAGUUCAUGAUUAAAUAUGCACUAUUUUUGAGCGGGAGUUUCUGUAAGAAUCAGAAACUAAGGACCAUAAAAUCAACUGUCUAAAAAGACAGCCCAGUUGACCAUGUGACUGAAAAUCACUUCUGAUUGGUGCAGGACACCUUUGGGGAUGCGGCCAAUUUCAGUUUCAGAAGAACACACUUCUCUGCCUCGUUGCUGCUUAGAACAGGACUCUCUGCUCUCUGACUCUCCUCUCUGGAACCGCACGUUGCCAUGUAGGGUCCAAGGAAAACUCGGGAUGCGAAGUCCCGAUAAGGAAGCGUCGCUCUCUAUGGUUCACAAACACCCUAUGAGUCGCGGAUACGAUCUCUGUUUCAUGACAGCUAUCCUCCAGAAACAGUAAUUGAGUUAUUUGUGCAGGAGUACAAAUGAAAACAUGCAAUAUCAAAACGGGACUUUUAUUAUGAAAACAUGCGAUAUCAAAACGGGACUUUUAUUAUGAAAACAUGCGAUAUCAAAGCUGGACUUUUAUUAUGAAAAUAUGCGAUAUCAAAACGGGACUUUUAUUAUGAAAACAUGAUCGCCAGAUGAAUCUAGUUGAACACACUUGGGUCAAUCGUCGUAGUUUUAUUCAUAAUAGUCGAGCAGUGCCGUCAGAUUUAGUGUCGUCUUGAGAGGCGGAGCUUAAUUUUACUCUGAACACUUCCAGAGAUUUUACAGAGAUUAAAGCUGCAGGAACUCAUUUAUUAUUAUAUCAUCUUCAGAUUAGAAACGAAACUUCUUUAGACUCGUGACUUUGAGCACAUUGUGUUUCUGGGGUGUCUUGACACUUUUAUUAUUGUUUAUAAACAUGUUCAGCACAAAAUAUUCACAUUACUAUAAACUUCAGCUUCUCUAACUUUAAUAAAUAACAACAAAUAUUAAUUCUGAAACAUGUGAAAUAAAGUCCAAAGUGUCUCUUUCAAAAGACACCACAACUGUGUCCAAACUCCAAACGGUCCCAAAAAUACAACCAUUUCAGUUCAGGUCAUUGUCAUGCUUUGUGCUCAGAAAGGGGGCGUUCAACAACAGGUUAAAGCUUUAUCGAGUUUUAAAUCAACAAAAAGGACCUUCCCAAUCUAAACCUAACCGAUAGAAAAAGCAAAUGUGAGAUGAAAAACACAUCCACGUCAUUUUGCGGUGCUUCUAUGACACUUUGGGUUCACGUGAUGGACUCGUGUGCUCUUCAGGACUCGUACCCGCUCCGUUACAUCACAAACGCAACGCUACCCUCAGUCGAGCUACCUCGAAAUAUGAUCAUAUGAAAAUGAGUCAUGCGCUAUAAGUGUUUAAAUGUCAUAAGAUAGCGUUGUGUGAGGAACAGGGAGAAAAGUAAGUGUUUAUGCACUGAUAAUCUGUGUAUGUAAGCAGCUGCCAUAACAACACAUCUAGAGUUCUGGCAAACAAAUGUGCCACUCGUUAUUUUCAUGCAAAUGUUUGCCAGAAGUUUUCAACUCUUCACCGGUAGUGAUGAACCCAAAACACUCCAUUGAUGGACAAUAUGUUGCAAGUUGGCCUCAACGCUCAUUUGCAUUUGAAAAUGAUCAGUGGCGAAUCUGCGGCGAGUUUGUACGGGUCACUAGGUUUCGGAACAGAACCGAAUUCUCCUCUCAGAAGGACUUUUGGAUAAAACUACAACAGCAGACGGUGUAAAGCGCUGUUCACGUACCUAAGAAAAGUACUCAGGUGAAAUGAAUAAUGUGCUAAAGUCUACUUUUGCAAAUCAUGUUGACGGCGGUGACCUUUUGACUUUUUACCUAUGGUGAGAAUAGUAAUUAUGCUGCUGUGACCCUUAUACACGACCCCUGAGAUUCUGCUCCAUCAGUCUGUUCCUCAUUAGUGUCUCUGCGAGGAACUCUAUUAGCUCGCUCUCUCUCUCUCUCUCUCUCUCUAAAUUGCAUCACAGUCAAAUGGUUUCAUAUUAUUAUAUAUAGAAAUGGCUGGCGAGAUAAAAUAACUUUCUCUUU